rnacentral:lncRNA from 1 species
CCCUCCUUUAUGUGUGUUAGAAUUGUUACAGUAAUAUAAUCUUUAUCAAUUAUACGUAGGUUAUUAUUAAUCUGAUUUGUUAUGAAAGUUCAACUAAUGUCUAUAUGACAGAUUGUUCAGAAAUCUCAACCUGUUUCUGAAGGCAAACUGCCAGUUUAGAAAAAUCUUAUCUUGAUUGCUCUCGCGUGCCAAAAAAUAUACAUAGUGAUGAUUAACUAUCAAAACAUAUGUUUUUAUCUCUGACAAUCUUACUUUACUUUACCAACGCAUGUUUAAUUGUCUGUCAAAUUAUUUACCAUUAUAAUGAUCUCUGAUAUAAAUUUAUAUAGUUUCAUUUCACUGUCUAUUUUUAUUAUGAAUGUAUCUUAUCUUUAAUAUAUUUAUAUAUAUAUCCUUAUCGACUUAGUUUUUAAUAAUAGUCUUUUAUUUGAACAACUACAACAAAAACAAAAAGGAUAUGCUGCAAUCAUGUAAGCAUCAUUUUUAGAGUGAUUUAAUCAUUUAUUUUGCCUACCCGAGUAGACUAGUACCUUUGAGCAAGUGGCCUGGGGCUCUUAUUUUUGCUCUUUAGUUGGGAUUUUGUCUCGUCGACAUUUUCCCACGAUAAGAAAUAUCUUCCCUCAUUGUUUAUAAUGGGGAACCAAAUAUUUGAAACCUAAUAUUACGAUGAAUUGCACUCAUUUUGAUGUUUAAAAAGGACCUCGUUCAAGAUACCUUUCAUUUGAACCAUAUCUCCUUAAGUAAUUGUUCAUGUUCAUGUUUAUUUU